UGUUUUAUGCAAAAGUUGUAAUGAGCAUAAACUCACCUUUACUUUGAAGUACUUCUUUCUUGCUUUAUUUGAUAUGCAUGAAAAUGAAGUAGUUGGGUCCAACGCCCCUAAGACAACACGCCUUAAUGUGAUUAAACGCGUAACUAAAAUCAAUCACCAUCUCUAGACCGAGAUUCAACACAAGGCUUGUGUUGAAUCUAAACAAAGGUUCAUAAUCAUCCUAAGGCCCUAAGGCAACUAUAUAGUCCAUCAAAUG
rnacentral:lncRNA from 1 species